GAUGAAGCAAGGGGGUGCCCCAUGCGUCAGUUUUAUCAGCACUAUUUUACCGCGACAGCGAAGUUGUGCUGGUUGCGUUGGUUAAGCGUCCCACAACGAUUAACCAUGCUUGAAGGACUGAUGCAGUGGGAUGACCGCAAUUCUGAAAGUUGACUUGCCUGCAUCAUGUGUGACUGAGUAUUGGUGUAAAAUCACCCGCCAGCAGAUUAUACCUGCUGGUUUUUUUU
rnacentral:sRNA from 15 species